GAUGAACGCUGGCGGCGUGCCUAAUACAUGCAAGUCGAGCGAACAGACGAGGAGCUUGCUCCUCUGACGUUAGCGGCGGACGGGUGAGUAACACGUGGAUAACCUACCUAUAAGACUGGGAUAACUUCGGGAAACCGGAGCUAAUACCGGAUAAUAUAUUGAACCGCAUGGUUCAAUAGUGAAAGACGGUUUUGCUGUCACUUAUAGAUGGAUCCGCGCCGCAUUAGCUAGUUGGUAAGGUAACGGCUUACCAAGGCAACGAUGCGUAGCCGACCUGAGAGGGUGAUCGGCCACACUGGAACUGAGACACGGUCCAGACUCCUACGGGAGGCAGCAGUAGGGAAUCUUCCGCAAUGGGCGAAAGCCUGACAGAGCAACGCCGCGUGAGUGAUGAAGGUCUUCGGAUCGUAAAACUCUGUUAUUAGGGAAGAACAAAUGUGUAAGUAACUAUGCACGUCUUGACGGUACCUAAUCAGAAAGCCACGGCUAACU
rnacentral:rRNA from 1 species